rnacentral:rRNA from 1 species
CGAAAGGGGGCAACCCUGAGUAGAGUGGCGAACGGGUGAGUAACGCAUCGGAACGUGUCCCGUAGUGGGGGAUAACCCAUCGAAAGGUGGGCUAAUACCGCAUACGACCUGAGGGAGAAAGCGGGGGAUCGCAAGACCUCGCGCUAUGGGAGCGGCCGAUGUCCGAUUAGCUAGUUGGUGGGGUAAAGGCCCACCAAGGCGACGAUCGGUAGCUGGUCUGAGAGGAUGAUCAGCCACACUGGGACUGAGACACGGCCCAGACUCCUACGGGAGGCAGCAGUGGGGAAUUUUGGACAAUGGGGGAAACCCAGAUCCAGCCAUGCCGCGUGAGUGAAGAAGGCCUUCGGGUUGUAAAGCUCUUUCGGCCGGAACGAAAUCGCGUCUUUUAACAGAGGGCGUGGAUGACGGUACCGGAAGAAGAAGCACCGGCUAACUACGUGCCAGCAGCCGCGGUAAUACGUAGGGUGCGAGCGUUAAUCGGAAUUACUGGGCGUAAAGCGUGCGCAGGCGGUUUUACAAGCCAGACGUGAAGGCCCCGGGCUCAACCUGGGAAUGGCGUUUGGGACUGUAAGGCUGGAGUGUGGCAGAGGGAGGUGGAAUUCCACGUCUAGCAGUGAAAUGCGUAGAGAUGUGGAGGAACACCGAUGGCGAAGGCAGCCUCCUGGGCCAGCACUGAUGCUCAUGCACGAAAGCGUGGGGAGCAAACAGGAUUAGAUACCCUGNUAGUCCACGCCCUAAACGAUGUCGACUAGUUGUUGGGGGAGUUAUCCCUUGGNNACGCAGCUAACGCGUGAAGUCGACCGCCUGGGGAGUACGGCCGCAAGGUUAAAACUCNA